AAUGGAAGUGAUGAGUUUGUUUACCGCCCCAGUCUGAUGAACCGUGACUGAUUGGUAUUCCCUGAUCUGUG
rnacentral:snoRNA from 1 species